GUGUCAGCCGCCGCGGUAAUACGUAGGUGGCAAGCGUUAUCCGGAAUUAUUGGGCGUACAGCGCGCGUAGGCGGUUUUUUAAGUCUGAUGUGAAAGCCCACGGCUCAACCGCGGAGGGUCAUUGGAAACUGGAAAACUUGAGUGCAGAAGAGGAAAGUGGAAUUCCAUGUGUAGCGGUGAAAUGCGCAGAGAUAUGGAGGAACACCAGUGGCGAAGGCGACUUUCUGGUCUGUAACUGACGCUGAUGUGCGAAAGCGUGGGGAUCAAACAGGAUUAGAUACCCUCGUAGUCC
rnacentral:rRNA from 1 species